UUGGAGGGCAAGUCUGGUGCCAGCAGCCGCGGUAAUUCCAGCUCCAAUAGCGUAUAUUAAAGUUGUUGCAGUUAAAAAGCUCGUAGUUGAAUUUCGGGAUCGAUGGGUCGGUCAUGCCCUCGGUAUGUACUGAUCCCAUUGGUUCUCACCUUCUAAGGAACCAUGAUGUCAUUCGGUUGAUGUUGUGGGGAAUUAGGACUGUUACCUUGAAAAAAUUAGAGUGUUUAAAGCAGGCCAACGCUUGAAUACAUUAGCAUGGAAUAAUGAAAUAGGACAUCCGAUUCUAUUUUGUUGGUUUCUAGGAUCGAUGUAAUGAUUAAUAGGGAUAGUUGGGGGCAUUAGUAUUCAAUUGUCAGAGGUGAAAUUCUUGGAUUUAUUGAAGACUAACUACUGCGAAAGCAUUUGCCAAGGAUGUUUUCAUUAAUCAAGAACGAAAGUUAGGGGAUCGAAGACGAUCAGAUACCGUCGUAGUCUUAACCAUAAACUAUGCCGACUAGGGAUCGGAUGAUGUUAAUUUUUUAAUGACUCAUUCGGCGCCUUACGGGAAAC
rnacentral:rRNA from 1 species